GACGAACGCUGGCGGCGUGCUUAACACAUGCAAGUCGAACGGAAAGGCCCUGCUUUUGUGGGGUGCUCGAGUGGCGAACGGGUGAGUAACACGUGAGUAACCUGCCCUUGACUUUGGGAUAACUUCAGGAAACUGGGGCUAAUACCGGAUAGGAGCUCCUGCUGCAUGGUGGGGGUUGGAAAGUUUCGGCGGUUGGGGAUGGACUCGCGGCUUAUCAGCUUGUUGGUGGGGUAGUGGUUUACCAAGGCUUUGACGGGUAGCCGGCCUGAGAGGGUGACCGGUCACAAUGGGACUGAGAUACGGCCCAGACUCCUACGGGGGGCAGCAGGGGGGAACAUUGCACAAUGGGCGGGAGCCUGAUGCAGCAACGCCGCGUGCGGGAUGACGGCCUUCGGGUUGUAAACCGCUUUCGCCUGUGACGAAGCGUGAGUGACGGUAAUGGGUAAAGAAGCACCGGCUAACUACGUG
rnacentral:rRNA from 1 species